rnacentral:rRNA from 1 species
UACGGGGGGGGCAAGCGUUGCUCGGAAUCACUGGGCGUAAAGCGCACGUAGGCGGAUAUUUAAGUCGGUGGUGAAAUCCUGGAGCUCAACUCCAGAACUGCCUCCGAUACUGAAUGUCUUCGAGUCCGGGAGAGGUGAGUGGAACUGCGAGUGUAGAGGUGAAAUUCGUAGAUAUUCGCAAGAACACCAGUGGCGAAGGCGGCUCACUGGCCCGGUACUGACGCUGAGGUGCGAAAGCGUGGGGAGCAAACAGG